UCAUAGGAUGGCAGUGAGACUCAAAGGAGAGGAUGUGCGAAGCUAAGCAAGGACCAGCUGCAUCGUGCAAAGGUGCCACGGGGGAGUGGUGCGGAGUCAGAAUGGACACGUGGAGUCCCUGAGGACAGGGGAUCUAUGAAUGCACACCAUGUCGGGGGACUGGGUCAAAGGAAAGAUGGCCCAGAGCUUCCAGGUGAAAAUGCAGCAUCCCAGCCCUCCAGACAGUGAGAUUUCAGGCAGAUCGGGGUGUGCGUCUGGAGGAGGCAGGACAUUUUUUCUUCCCUGAAGAUUCUCCAGUCCAAAGAAGCCUGUGGUUCCGGGGGUGGAGAUGGACAGAUGACCCGGGGUGGGCUGCUAACCCAAGAGUGUGUUCUGAGAUGAGACAGCGCAACAGAGCAGCCGAGAGAAGGAGACGGAUUCCCGACUCACUUCCCGAGUUGGCUGCUGGCUGUAGAGCUCUGUUGCCUGAGAGCGGAUGCAUAAAGGAGAACACUAGCCCCUUAAAAUUCACUUGUCUUACAUUUAGAGAGCAGCUCCAAGCCCACAAAGUGCUGUCUCACAGAUUCUCGUUGCGUCUUCACAGCCAGAAGGCAGGGUCACUGCCCCCCCCUUUAAAGAGGAGCACACUGACCCAGAGAAGUUAAGUGACUUGCUCACAGUCACCCAGCUGGCUAGCAGCAGUGCCAGGACCAGAGCGCAGGUGUCUUGAGCCCUACAUGGAAAUCGUUCAUCUUGACACCACUCCCAGUGGAUGGAGGAGCCAGUAGAGAUGCUGCUGAAUGCUCCAUUUUUGUCUCAGGGGAUGAGGACCCCACUCCCAGCUCUAAGCUUGCCCUGGUUGGACUAUGGAAAAUCCUAUCUCCUUUGCCACUAAUUGGCUCAAGAAAAGCCAUUUGACACAAUUCUAGCUAAUGAGGUAGGAAUGGGGGUCUGUGGGGCAGCCUAUGGGAAAACUUCUCUUGCUCCUGAAGAGCCACAAGAAGGGGCAGUGUCUCUAUUCCUCUGGUUGUUGUGCCUGGACCAUGAUGACUGGGACUGCUGCAGCCAACUUGCUGCUUGGAAGAAGCCAACACAUGGAAGAGGAUGAGCAAAGAGACGAGAGAGUCUGGUCCUGGAUGGCGUCAUUCAGCCAACACUGAGGCCCACCCUCCUGGGGUUGCACAUCCCAGACCUUAGACUUCAGAUAGGAAAAUACAAGGUCCUCAAGAGUUAGGAUAAUCUCCCCAGAAGGUCCCCAGCAGACUGCCCUCAUGACUUUUUAGCCAGCACUAGAUCCUAUGGCUACCCCAAACCAGGCAAUGGCAAGUGGCAUGGGAAUGCCAUGAUCAUCUUAUUGUCUUAGCUGGGGUGAAGACAGCAAGUGCGCCACACAUAUGACAUUUGUUAUAUUCCAGACACUGUUCUACUUACUUUAGAUGCAUUAUAAUGCUCUCAAAAAAGUACGGUUGGUAUCCUCAUUUUAUACAUGAGGAAAUUGAAACACAGAGUUUAAAUAAUUUGCCUGGGGCCACACAGCUAGGAAGUGGCAGAACUAAGUUUUGAAUUCAGGCUCCAGCACCUGUGUUCCUUCAUCACUACUUACUCGAGUUAAGAAUGAGGUCAGCCUCCUGGGGGCACGGGGCUCAGUGGUGGACUGACGGCUCAGAAGGAGAGGUGGGGACUGGAACAGAGUUGAAGUUCUGUUAGGAAAGAGGAAGAAAGAAAUAGAUAUCGGUUAGCAACAGUGCUGGCUACAGCUGUCCCCGCUGGCUGCUGUACCUAUGGAUCUCCGUUGAGGUGAGCUAGCAGAUAUCUUUAUAGUCAAAGCCAGUUGACUGUUUCUCAAACUAUUACCUGUAGCCCAACUAACUAAAACGAGUUAUUAUUGUGGGCUAGAGUGAUCAGAAAAGCUUUCAGGAAAGAGAAUGACUUGAAGGAUGGGUAGGGUUUAGAGAAAAUGGACAUUCCUGGCAAAGAGAAUUGCAAAAGAAAAUGUCCAGAAGGCAGUAGCAUCAGGUCCUUGAAGUCCUUGAACCCAAAUGGAGGGGUAUGGGCUUCAUUCAGGCAACGAGGGCUGCAGAGGAUCCACGAGUAGGAGAGUGGCCGGGCGUUGAGAGAGAUCCAUCCUAAAGCCGAUCAAAGGAAGGACUGUGCAGGAGGAGAGAGCUGGCUGGCAAGAGGCUCUGCUUGAUGAUGAAAGUUUGAAUAAGUGUGAUAGUGUUAUAAAUAGAAAGGGAGAGACAUUCCAGGAGGCACUGAGGAAAAAAAAGGUAUUUGGUCUGAUGACUGCUUAGAUCUUGGAGGGUAAGGAGUCCGAGGUGACUUUGAAGUUUCAAGCUUUGGUGACAGGAAGAUGGAAACCAGGAACUUGCCUGGGGGAGGUGGAGGAUGGGGAGCAGGAUAUGGAGGAUUGGGUGUUAGACUUGGACCCCCAUGUGGAAAUGUAGGAUUGGGACAUUAGUGGCGAGUGAGAACUAGAGGUGUCAACUGGAAAGCUGAGGGGGUGAUUGGAGGGGAUGAGACCUCUGAGAAAAAGGGUGUGGAGGAAGAAGAGAAGACUACUGAGGUCUGGACCUGAGGAAACCUCCAACAUGACAUGGUCCCAGGAAAGAGGAUGCGACAGAAGAACUGGAGGAAAGAUCAGAGAUACAAAAGGAGAACCUAGAAAACGGGAAAGAACCAGGGAAUUGAGGGUUUCAGGAAAGAACCUCAAUAGUGCUAAACGCCUGCAUUAUAGAGAAAUCCAGGUGGAUCAAAGCAAACUUCGUGGGUAUUUUAAAAGAGGAGAUUUGGAAGACUGUGGACAAUCCAAUGUCUUUCUAAAUUGCUCGUGGGAAUGUAAAUUGGCACAGUCCUUCAGAAGGGCAGGAGGGCACUAUCUUUCAAAGGCCCUAAAAAUAUAUAAAAUUGCUGAUCCAGAAAAACGUCUUCAGGGAACAGAACCCCAAAGUCAUAAGAAUUAAAGUUUGUUGAGUCCUUUCUCAACCAAUGACAAUGUCAAGGAUGGCAUUGUUUUAAGCACUUUACAUUUAAGAAUUAUUUAGUCCUCAGGACAACUCUAUAAGCUUAAGUACUAAUACUUUUCACAAGCAAAUUUUCAUUUUAUAAAUAAAGAAAAUGAGGCCAAGAGAGGUUAUGUCAUCUGAACACAAUCUGACAACUAAGAGAUGGAGAUCUGGGAAAACAGCUGCAAGGCCCGUGUUCUUAGCCACCAGGCCAUCCUGCCUCCUGACGUGAUUAGACGUGAACACGAGGCUGCGCCCUGAGGGUGUGCAUUUUAGCAUUAUAAUAACAGGAAACAAUCUAAAUGCUUAACAGCUGGAGGUUGGCUAAAUAAAGUCUGACUUCCAAAUGAGAGCAUGCUAUAUAGAUGUUAAAAAUCACGUUGUAAAAGAAUACUCAAUGACAUGGGAAAAUGUUAAUGAUACAUUUUUAAGUGAGAAAAGCUGUUUUCAAAACAGUAUGAUCCAAAAUUUGAAAAAGAAAGCCGUUUGUUAUUAUUCACAUGUGUGUACCUUGGCAGGCGGAUCUGGCUUCUGCAUUGGAUUGCCUGUGCCACCACCAGGUACCCUCUUUCAUCCUCACCCUGCGUGCACGAGAGCCCAUCCUCACAUCCCAAUCAGGUUGGACUGGUCAUCCCUAUGCUUCUGGAUUGAAGGGCUGUAUGUUUUAACAAAGAUAAGCAGGAUGCGUGGCGGAGUUCCAUGCCCAAAGGUCAUUGUUU
ensembl:lncRNA